ACCAUAUGGCCCAUGGAAAAGAUUUUGCAUCUAGAGGAAUUGAAAUGUCCGAAGUUCGCUUGAAUUUAGACAAGAUGAUGGAGCAGAAGAGUACUGCAGUAAAAGCUUUAACAGGUGGAAUUGCCCACUUAUUCAAACAGAAUAAGGUUGUUCAUGUCAAUGGAUAUGGAAAGAUAACUGGCAAAAAUCAAGUCACUGCUACGAAAGCUGAUGGCGGCACUCAGGUUAUUGAUACAAAGAACAUUCUUAUAGCCACGGGUUCAGAAGUUACUCCUUUUCCUGGAAUCAUGGUAUUUAUGCUUCAUAAUUUACAACCAUUACAACUUUUCUUUAGAAAUACGUUUUAUAAAUUGUUUAUGCUAUUUGUGAACUUUGAGAGAUUUCUGACUGAAAUACUAUGUUUUGAUGGUCAUUCAGCUUUGGGAAGUUACCUGUCUUUAUUCUGCAGUGAUUCUGACCAGCUAUAGAACACUUUAUAUUAAAAUGUGUUUGAAUACAGUAUGAAGUUAAAAUUGACCAUUGCGUUUGGAAUAUUGGAGGAUAAAAUUU
rnacentral:sRNA from 1 species